CCACGGGGGGCUGCAGUGGGGAAUAUUGGACAAUGGGCGAAAGCCUGAUCCAGCCAUGCCGCGUGUGUGAAGAAGGCCUUCGGGUUGUAAAGCACUUUCAGUGGGGAAGAAAGCCUUGGGGCUAAUACCCUCGAGGAAGGACAUCACCCACAGAAGAAGCACCGGCUAACUCCGUGCCAGCAGCCGCGGUAAUACGGAGGGUGCGAGCGUUAAUCGGAAUUACUGGGCGUAAAGCGCGCGUAGGCGGUCUGAUAAGCCGGUUGUGAAAGCCCCGGGCUCAACCUGGGAACGGCAUCCGGAACUGUCAGGCUAGAGUGCAGGAGAGGAAGGUAGAAUUCCCGGUGUAGCGGUGAAAUGCGUAGAGAUCGGGAGGAAUACCAGUGGCGAAGGCGGCCUUCUGGACUGACACUGACGCUGAGGUGCGAAAGCGUGGGUAGCAAACAGGAUUAGAUACCCCUGUAGUC
rnacentral:rRNA from 1 species